UACGUAGGCAGCGAGCGUUGUUCGGAAUUACUGGGCGUAAAGCGCACGUAGGCGGCUUUGUAAGUUAGAGGUGAAAGCCUGGAGCUCAACUCCAGAAUUGCCUUUAAGACUGCAUCGCUUGAAUCCAGGAGAGGUGAGUGGAAUUCCGAGUGUAGAGGUGAAAUUCGUAGAUAUUCGGAAGAACACCAGUGGCGAAGGCGGCUCACUGGACUGGUAUUGACGCUGAUGUGCGAAAGCGUGGGGAGCAAACAGG
rnacentral:rRNA from 1 species